UUAGUACUCCAUCCGUAAAUACUUGUCAAAGAAAUGGAUAUAUAUAGACGUAUUUUAGUUUUAGAUACAUUCACUUUUAUCCAUUUCAGCGACAAGUAUUUUCGGACGGAGGGAGUACUCC
rnacentral:pre_miRNA from 1 species